GCGGUUCUUCUGCGAGUUGGUCGUCAAGAGCGCCGGAUAAAUCAGGCAGAGGCAGUUAUUUCGUGGUAAUCGUUCAGUUUGCAGUGGAUAGAAGGCGUUUUCGUCGGAAGAUCUCAGACAAUAGAGGAAGUGUUCGUGCUACCAAGGAAGUAUCAAUCGUGGUCCGAAUAAUACGACUCCGCGUCGUUUUUCGGAGAACACAGUGUAGGGUAACUGCGACAAUUGUCGGCACGGGCAAAGGCCUAGGCAAAAGCCAAUAGCAUCUGAACGGAUAGCAAUUGGAAGCGCUCUCACCAUGGCCCACCGAAGUCAGCUUAGGUGCUACAAGGGGCAAACUCCGCAGCCGAGACAAAACGUGUGGCUGGGAGUCGGUACAGGUGGUAGAGAUGCUACGGUCGAAGAACGAACUGGAAUUGAAGAACGAAACCAAGAGGACACCGAAGAAGUUAACGCUGGAAGCGGCUCUGAUGAUGAACCAUUUAGGGGAUUCCCUAUGGUUCCGGCAAAGGCCAGAAAGCGAAACGCGACUUCGGCGGACUUGCCGAACGUGUGUCUACGGCGAUCGAAGAGGGUCCGCAAGCGAAACGAAGAUCCGGAGUUCAGUUAUUCGUAGAGUAUAAGUUCAAAGUGAUGAAUUAUCGAUAAAGUGAAUUGAUUUAGGAUUAAAGUUAAUUUGAAGUUGUUAAGUUUGAUAAAUGAUAUUUCAAGUUCGAAUUUUUUGAAAUAUAAAUACUAAUGUAUUAAUUAAAAA